AAACAAGACUCAUGUUGUAACCGAUCGAUCGAAUACAACAACUUUUCAAGAAACAAACCGUAAUUACUUUAACAAAGAAAGUGUAUCCAUCAAACAAAUUUCAUUUCAUGUUGAUGAAUUUCAUUUCAUUUCAUUUACGUAGGGUUAUUAUAAUCCCCAUAUGAAUCCAUUACAUGGAUAAAGAAAUCAAGAAAAAGAUGAGCUUAAGCUAAGGCACAACAAAAAGAAGGAUAUAUAUAUAUGUAAUCCUAUAUAUCGUUUAUUUUAUACUUCUUCCUUUCGAUCGACUUCAUCGGCGUAGCCAUCUUACUUUUUCUUCCUUUUUUCGACUUCAUCUGGGGAACUUUCUUCCAUCUAAGGGAAAAAAGAAAAGAAAAGAAAAUUGAGACAAAAGAAAGAAGGGGAUCAUACAUAAUGAGAAAGGUAGGUAAUAUAAUGAACUUAAUUUCUUAAUUAUCUCAUUGUCACGGACUUAGAGUCUCACUAAUGCUCCAUGCGUCACUUGACAACUUACUCACGAAUCCUUCACGAUCUUGUAAGCUCAAGUAAGCCCUUUGAAACUAAGAUCGCUAAGAGAAUGAAAAGGAAGACUUAGAGAAAUUUAGAAGAAGGCUUAUAUUGCUUAUAAGAAAGCUUUACAAGUUGUUGGAUUGCUUGGUCUCAA
rnacentral:lncRNA from 1 species